UAAGGGCGCACGGUGGAUGCCUUGGCACUAGAAGCCGAUGAAGGACGUUACUAACGACGAUAUGCUUUGGGGAGCUGUAAGUAAGCUUUGAUCCAGAGAUUUCCGAAUGGGGAAACCCAGCAUGAGUUAUGUCAUGUUAUCGAUAUGUGAAUACAUAGCAUAUCAGAAGGCACACCCGGAGAACUGAAACAUCUUAGUACCCGGAGGAAGAGAAAGAAAAUUCGAUUCCCUUAGUAGCGGCGAGCGAAACGGGAAGAGCCCAAACCAACAAGCUUGCUUGUUGGGGUUGUAGGACACUCUAUACGGAGUUACAAAGGACGACAUUAGACGAAUCAUCUGGAAAGAUGAAUCAAAGAAGGUAAUAAUCCUGUAGUCGAAAAUGUUGUCUCUCUUGAGUGGAUCCUGAGUACGACGGAGCACGUGAAAUUCCGUCGGAAUCUGGGAGGACCAUCUCCUAAGGCUAAAUACUCUCUAGUGACCGAUAGUGAACCAGUACCGUGAGGGAAAGGUGAAAAGCACCCCGGAAGGGGAGUGAAAUAGAACCUGAAACCGUGUGCUUACAAGUAGUCAGAGCCCGUUAAUGGGUGAUGGCGUGCCUUUUGUAGAAUGAACCGGCGAGUUACGAUUUGAUGCAAGGUUAAGCAGUAAAUGU
rnacentral:rRNA from 1 species